CUGGAUGUCCUGAGUACCACUGGCAGCACCAUGGGCCUGGGAGCACUCAGAGUUUGACAGGCUGGGCCCAAAGCUCGUGAUAACACAGACCAGCACCGCUCCCUGCAUCCCACCCCACAGCGCUGAGAGCCCUGCAGAGGGCUUGGCAUCCAGGGGACCCUGUGCUCCGGAAUUCUCAAGUCCUGCCCAACACUGCCGGUUCAGCUGAUUCUGCAAGAGGGUCAGUGGAAAAAACGUGACAGAACAGCUAGGAGCAUGCCCCUCGAUGAGCUAGCAAGAGCUGGAAGUAGUCCUUGCAUGUUUUAUUGCCAGGGAUCAGAAGACAGCAACGGGCUUUAAAUCUGCCUCCUCUCUUCAAGCCAUGUUUUGAGAAGCGUGGUGUUACUGUUCACAGACUGCAGAUGGGAAGACUGAGGUACAGAGUUGUGUUCCCAGUUACCUGUCAGCUGAACUGCACUGAAUCUAGACCUGGCUGUAUCACCCCUGAGCAAUCUGCUACAAAAUAGGGAAAAUCACAGCAGGCCACCUGAUGCUGAUGGUUGGGCCCCACUGCAGUUUGCUGUCAAAGUCAGUUUGACAUCUCUGUAUCAGACAAGAAGCUAUUUGACCUCACCACGUGAGUUUAACUGGGAAAACAGCAAACAACACCUGCUCAAACAUUGUAAAACAGGAGAAGGGAUGCCAAAACAUGGGUGUCCUAUGGGGUAAGGGUUAACAGUCAAAUACUUUUAACAAAGUUCCAGAUGUGUGAGCAUUGCUGUCAGUUUUCUACCUCUCACCAGCAAUUUUUACUUCAGAUGUGCUUCACUAGGGAAUUAAGCCUUAAAAUAUCCUUACAAGAUAAAAAGAGGUUAUUAUUCUCUUCUAUAUUAAGGAAAAGGGGAGGUUAAAUGACUCCUGCAAACCUUACACCUGCGUUGGGACCAGAAAUAAAACCCCAGCUAUCCUUCCUCCACUCCUUGGCUUUAGCCCAAGAUGACAUUUUCCCACCUCCUAACACCAGCCCUGCAGAAAUAUGCUGGAGAAGAAAAUCUUCCCCUGCAACCAAGAGCCCCAGGGGCUGGAAACAUGGCUGUGAGCUGUGCCAACCUGCCACAUGCACUAACUGCUGAAAAGAGUGACAGCCAUUUGAGAAGCCCACUUUUGAACACGGCCCAGCACCCACCACCCCAUCUCCAGCUGCCUCUUUUUUGCCCCUGAACCAGCAGCACCAUCCUCCUUGACCCUGAACUCUCCUUCUUCUCCACAUCUGUUGCUUGCAAAUCUUCCUGUCACCACCUCCUUUUUUAAACACUAAGUCCUUGACCGCAUCUCCAUUCCAUCAGGCCACGACUGCUUCUUGCCACAGAGGAUGGUGAAGUCUCCUAUUCAUGGAUCUUCCCCAGCUGCCCACAGCACCGACCUCUCCAGUGCAAUUCCCCAGCUUUUCACCCCACGUAGUAUGUGUGGAGAUGAGGGCCAGCCCCAUCCUUGUUGGAGCAGGCAUGCAGCUUCAGCUGCAUCAGCAACUGGAGAUCCCAGAAGCUGUAGGAUGGAGUCUAGUGCAGUGCUGGUGGGAUCCAGGUUCCCCAGCCCCCUGAUUUCUCUGAUCCAAGACAGGCCUUGCCUGCAAAACCUUAUCUCCACCCCAUUGUUUCCAGGAUCCAGUUCAAAAGAACCUUUUUGAUUUUCUACUCAUCUCUCUCAUCCCUUCCCCUGUUUCCAGUUCCUCUGUCAUGAUUGUAAACACACUCCUGGUGCAAGACCCUUCCAUUGUCUUGAAAGCCACAAGGUCUUCCUCUCACCUUCUGCUACUGAAUUUGUGAAUAUCCAAACAUAUUUGAUGUAGUUUUAACCAAAAUUUUAUGUAAUUACCAAAAUCCAUUCUCCACCGUGCCAUACAGUGCUUUGGAAAUGGUAUGGGGUCAAGAUUUAUUGCAGGCCACCGCAGCGUGCUCUUUGUUGAGCCUAAUGAAAGCAGGAUUUACCCAAGAGAAGGAAUCCAUCUCAGUGUUCUGCAUCUCAGCUAUAGCAAUACUUUUAACUCACGUGCUUGUAGACAAACCAACAUGUUCAGUUCUAAUAACCUGUGCAAGAAAUACAUUUUUCAAAGUCUCAACUCACCUUUCUUCAGCAUUUCUGGCUGGAAGGGGCUAAGUGAGGUGACAGAGCUCUGAAUCCCACAUCUUGUUCUGGAAGUGCCCAUAGCGAUGGCUGGGUUCUGAACAUGUAGAAGUGUUUUUAAUUACUAAGGGGAAAAAAAUGAAGUCAAAGCAGAGACAGCUGCCAGAGCUUCCACAGGACUGACUACAUUCACAAAUCUUGUAAUCUUUUUAUGUUCAUUAUGAGAAUGCUACAGAAAAAAAAAGGGCAAUCACAUCUUGGCCAACAAAUUAAAUGCUUAUUCAGAGAUUAAUUCACAUCAUCUGUACUCCAUUAGAUGUUCUCUUUUGCCAGGGAAUAUAAUGCAAUAUUUUCAGGGGGAAUAGUUGCUGCUGUUGCCAAGAGCUUGCAAUUUACUGGCUUUUGCAGCAUUGACAUGGGAGUCACAGAGCUAUGGGCACAGCUAGAGCACAUAAUGGAGCAACAUACAGUAUGAGACAUACGGAGCAGAUCUGCUUCAUUCUGGUGUUAAAAGGUAAUGAUUAUGACUGCAAUGCAGCCAAGAGACAAGGGGGAAACAAAUUCAUAAACCGAUAAAAGCAUAUCCUUGUAUCAGAAAGGGAACCAUUUGUUGCUGCUGGGUUUGGGUCUUUCUUGUCUACAAAUACAUUGAGAUUUCAUUUCAAGAUCAGAAGAUAAAGCUGAGGGAAGUAUUACUUUUAACUUUGGUGUGUCUAACCUAAAACAUCAUAACAGGGCAACCUUUCCAAGAAUAAAUGCAUAACAUUGCGUAAGGCAGAUCCCCAGAAUAAUUUUUUUAAAAAGCUUCCCUAAUCAAUUUGUGAUUCUUCUUGGAAUACACAGUGCCAGAAAACAGUUCUACUAUCCUGCCUAUUCUUACAUUUGCUAAAUAUUAAGAUAUUACCUUCUGUUUUUUGAGCAGAACCUCAAAAUGGAAGAUCACUUUGGGAUAAUAGGCUAUGUAUAGAUAAUAAGCUAAACACAUUAUUUGUAGUAAGUACCCAAAUACACCAUCAAAUACGAGGGACUAAAUUCUCAUGCUUCCCUGAGUAGGCCUGUUUAUGUGGAAGUUAGCACUACUUUGAGAAGGAAACUGGACCAGAAACCUCCAGAGGUCUCCUCUACCCAUAGUUAUCUAUGAGACUAUGAAAAUGGUACACAACUGCUCCUUUCUCUGUCUGUGUCAGACACAAAGUACUGUAAGAUAGGAACCCCUGUGGUAUCAGUAACACAUUAACCAGGUGCAGAGCAUUUUAUUGAUAGUGAAGGACAAUGCUAUUGGGGUUGCAUUGUUUGAAUUAAGUCCCAGGGCUUUUGGGACAGGCUAUCCACUGAUCAGUUCUGCAGCUCUGGCUCCUCAUGGACCUAGUACCAAAAGCCGUAGCUACAAUAAAAGUACCUGGUAAAAAUACCUCUUGGCCUACUCUACACUCCUGCAAAUUAUUUAGGAAAAAUGGGGUUGCAUCCCCCAAGUUUUCCAGCCUAGAGAUGAAGACAGAAAGAGUAAAGUGACCAUUAUAGGUAUCCUUUGCUGAUGUGUAAGAAGUUCCCUUUCCUAUUUUACCAUCUUCAGGGUCAUCCAACAGGCAAGGUGGACCUGAGGAGCCUGCAGAUGUAGUAUCUUCCUUCAUUUGCCUGCUACUCUUUUCCCACAGCCCCAAAGGCCAGCAGUGUACUAUCCAGAUUUAGGGACUUCACAGGUCCUUAUAUAUUGCAUUAGAUGAGUGCAUGUACAAGAACGAGAUUCAUGAAAACCACCAUACUCGGUGCAGAGUUCCUUACAUUAGCUCAUAGGAAAUGAUAAUUAUUUAGUUUUUGCCCCUUUGGGGCUGUUAAUGCUGAAUUUAAAUAGCUACAAGGAAAAAUUACACAACACAUAGGUAUUUGCAUCUUUUACUGGAUUUAGCUCCCAAUCCCUUUUCUGUGCCAAACACUACAGGAGACAACAUCACAACAAAUACCAUAAAAUAGUGGUUAAUUAUCCAAAACCCAUCUUUUUUUUUUUUUUUUUUCCACCCAAAGAGCUCAGAGAGGUAAGUCUAAACACUGACUGCAUCGAACCUGACAAAAAAAAAAAAAAAAAAGCAAAAAAGCAAACAGGGCACAACUGAGAGAAAGGGCAGAAAAUUCCAGCUUUCUGACGAGAGGUAUACAGGCUGGUACACUGUACCCCAGAUCCAGGUAGAUGGUCUUGUUUCUUGUUAGCAGAACAUGCAGACCCUUCCAGAUGUUCUCAGCUAUUUCCAACGCUGUAUCCACGGCCAUUUUAAACCACUGAAGUGCAGAACUAAUGGAAAGUUUGUUUGUUUCCUGUAGGAUGGUGGUUGACUAUACGUGAUCUGGGCUACCUAGUCAGCCUUUUAAAUACAGAAUAAAUAGUUUCUUCCCAAAGUUGUUUUGCAGAAAAUGUUCCUUUCUGCUAGAUACAGGGAGAAUUAAUCCCUUCUCCCCGCUACAGACUGCUUUGCUUGUUUCUCCCACUGGCCUCUCAGAAGUAAAAGGGGGAGAUGCAACUGCUCUGUUUAAUGAGCUGCUAUUACUCCUAUUUUUAUUAUGAUGCCCAAUAAAUAUUAAAUUUUUAUUUUCCUGAGCUCUUUCCUUCAGGAAAUGUCAGCCAAACAUAACCCAGCAAAAGCUAGCUUUGUGUUUGCCUUGGCUUCUGGAGCUCACCAUGGUCCCAGAACAAGGACAGGAUGAAAUACUGGGGCACACCACCUGGCUUCAAAAUUGGGCACUGUCUAGAGCUAGCUUGCACAUAUUGGGAGCCAAACCUGUAUUCUGGGCUAUGCCAAGUCUGGCGCUUUUCUGUCAUUUUCCCAAGCCUGUGGUAGCCACAUCAAUACAGAGAUUUGAGAAAAGUCUGAGCACAUCCAAGGCAUUAUGCAAAUAUCCCCUCUUGUGCUCUGCUGCAAUACAUGUAUUGAAAUAACCUCGUAUAAACUGCAUUGUAAAGGCUUUACAAAUGUCAUCAUUUCUGAAUUAAUUAUCAACCAAAUGCCAACAAUUUCCCUGCCUUAAUAUACAUUAACAUAACCCAUUAACAAUGUCUAGUUGUCAGGCGAUGUCAAGAAGAGGGUGUCAUGCCUGGUUUGUGAAAAACAACUUGGACACCACGCUCUCUGGUUUUGGCUCAUGUAUUGUAAAUAUGAGGACACCCUUCAUACUUCUUCAGAUGUGCCCCUGAUGGAAUGGGUUCAUACUAUAAAUCACUCCAACUUUAAUUACAUGUUUUUCUUUUCUGCAUUAAAGAUUCCAGAACAUGAUUCAUCCUCUCAUCGCUAUAUUUUGACAUGAAUGCAACUCCUCCACAAACAAUGGGAGUCACACCAAAUUGGGGUACUAAAACAGGCUCUUAGACAACACUGUUUUUACUAAGUCUAUCCUCUAAGCAACUUCAACUUUCACUGAGAAGUCCGUGCUGAAUUACAAAAUUAUUCCAUUCAGUCCAAAAAAGGUGUUACAGAAAAGUAGGGCCGUGGGCACUGUCCCAUCACAAAUGCCAGCCCCACACCAGCACCGUGUCCCGCUGACGGAUUGGGUCCAUUGACAAGUGCCAACAACUGGACAAGAUGAGCAGUUUUCCACUGAAAACCAAGUUAGCUCUUUCUUUUCUAGACAGCUUUUAGUUUUGACACUGGUGAGAAUUAGUAUCUGGAUAUCUCAUAUCUGCUUUUCUCUAUAGACCAAGCACCUUUGGAGGACUACGGCUCCCAGCACACCAAAAUCUCUCUCAUAGGAGAGUUUUGGCCUUGAUGUGCUGUGGGAUAAAGUUCUAUUCUUUGCUGUCAGUGAGUAUAUGUUCUUGCACUGAUUCCAUCAGUAAACAAGUACUCUUUAAAAGCCUGAAGAGCUACCUGAUUUUCUUUACUUUUUGACAGAAUUAGCCACUGCAGCAGUUAAAAUUCAUAUGCUUUUUGCAGACCCUCCAGUAAAGCCAGUGAGAGAGAAUCACUGCAAUGCCUCUGUGAGAGCAUUUCUCUUGCUCCAAUACUUUGGUGUACUGAUAAUUAACUCAGGUUAGCUGUCUUCUGCUCAGGAAGCUUGUAAGAUAUUGGCAUGAAGGACUGUACACUCUUGUGCUGUCCUACAGAUGUACUAAGGGUGGAUUCCUUGAGACUGUACUAAACCCACACAUAAAACCACACAAACUUUGAACUGGGGACAAAUGCUUUCCUAGCCCAAGAUUUUCUGCCAUGAAUGCAACUUGUAAGUGAGGAGGGUUUUAAAAAAUGUGUCCCCAGCCAGUAUUUUCAAGGGAUGAAGAAAAUUAAGAUUUGACCUUGUGGGCUUGGUUUUCCAGUAUCUGUUGUUAAAGCAACCCCUUCCUGCAAAUGCGGUGGCUGUUAAAAUCAGGAUACAUUCACUACACCCAUAAUUUCCAGGACAUACAAGUGUAAUCUGCUAACCCUCUGUUCGUCCCUAAAUUAAUCAGGGUAACAAAAUAGAUAGUGAUAUGAUAACAAAAUGGACGUGACUGCACACACUGUCUUUUCCAAGGCACUCAGCAGUUUCUUGGCCCUAUCAUUCACUGCUCUAUGGGCAGCCCCUUUUCUGAGCUACUUUCUGAAGCCUGUUUCACUAAUUUACCUUGUCUUCUUGCAGUUCUCCGAAAGCCACUCAGACCUGUGCACUUCAAGAAAUCUAACUCAGGUCAGGGGUUGAGCGUCUUUUCUGGAUCUUUCUGAGUGUAUGGCACAGUGACUCUGUAUAUUAUAGCACUAGACCAAAAAGCUUUUGGUUUAGUAACUCCUUCCUAAAGGAAGAAAUCUCCAGUUUUGUGACACCAGACUGCUUUUACCGUAUACCAUUUUUAAAAGGAGAAAUGUUUUAAUUGGCACAAUACUGACAUGAAACAUGCCGGGACUUUGGAAGGAAUAUGUAGGGAGAGAAAAUAACAGAGGAAAAACAAAUCUCAUUCCUCUAGCAGGUUACUUCACAAGCAGUCAGUUUUCUGUAGCUGCUCAGGACCCUGGCAGGCUGGGAGCUGUUCUAGGGGAGAAAAGCGGAUGCUGAGACCUGCAUGCAAAAUGCAGUCCCAUCACGCAGCAAUGCUGUUCAUCAUUCACAUUCCCCUCCCAUAUGCUUGGUAACACGCACAGACGCUCAAGUUUAUUGGACUUAAUCAGUGCAUUUCUGUUCCUUACACAUGCUACCAUCACCAGAGACCUUUGGCAGCAGCUGAAGCUCUGAAUACAAAAAAGUACUGAUAAUCCUGGGCUCUGCAGUUUUUUUCAUGAUCAGCUUUGACAUGACUUGUUGAACAGGCAAAGAGUCCUGAAACUUUCAAGAUGAAAGCAGAAAUACAAGAGUAACUGCCCAAGUUCAUUUAACACCUCUACCACCGUGACCAGAAAUACUUCUCCAUAGAAAUGCAGACAGGAGACUAAAUAUGUAAGUGAAAGACAUUGAUCCUGAACUGUACUCCCAGCUCUGCCACUGACUUGCUAAGGGACUUUUGGGAUAUUAAACUGUUGGUUACAAUACUUUCCCUGCUGGUAAGUGAACAAAAGGAUAGUGAAUUUCCUGGGCAAGGCAAAGUUGAUAUGAUCUUGCAUACAUUUCUGAGGCAAGCACUGUAUUUGUGUAAAACAUUCAAUGUGCUAAGCAUACAUUCAUAUCUGCCUUCAUUUUUGCUAGUGUUGGCAGCUCUGCUAUUUAUCUCAUAUGAGAAGCUUCGCAUUCCCUUUUUACAGAUGCACAAAGUAUGCUACACAUCAUGAGAAGCUGCUCCUAAUAAACGUCUGUAAAUUCA